UGGCGAGUGUCCCACCUGCUCAGGGUUCUGCAGCGUUUCCACCGUUCAGCCAUGCGCCUGCUGCUCGUCCCGGUGCUCGAGGUGAUUUUUGCCCUUGGAGGAAUUGGAGCCCAGUCCGUGACCCAGCCCGAGGGCCACAUCACUGUCUCUGAAGGAGCCCCUCUCCAGCUGAGGUGCAACUAUUCAUCUUCUUAUUCACCAUAUCUCUUCUGGUAUGUGCAAUACCCCAACCAAGGACUCCAGCUUCUGCUGAAGUAUGUGUCGGGGAACACCCUGGUUAAAGGCAUCAAAGAUUUUGAGGCAGAAUUUAAGAAGAGUGAAACCUCCUUCCACCUGAAGAAAUCAGCAGCCCAUUUGAGAGACUCGGCUGAGUACUUCUGUGCUCUGAGUGACACUGUGGCUGAGACUGCAGGGGGAGCAGAUCACAAACCUCUUGAGACAUUGGCAAUUUCUGUGACUCAAGAGCUCAAUCACGAAUUCUACUUUAUGCUACUAAAUAUCCACUCCAACUUUGAUGCUUACAAAUAUAUGCUGUAUAUUUUUAUGUGUUUAUUUUUAAACUAUCUGUGA